GAUGAAGAACGUAGCGAAAUGCGAUAAGUAAUGUGAAUUGCAGAAUUCAGUGAAUCAUCGAAUCUUUGAACGCACAUUGCGCUCCCUGGUAUUCCGGGGGGCAUGCCUGUCCGAGCGUCAUUACAACCCUCAAGCUCAGCUUGGUGUUGGGCCCCGCCGCCCCGGCGGGCCCUAAAGUCAGUGGCGGUGCCGUCCGGCUCCGAGCGUAGUAAUUCUUCUCGCUCUGGAGGUCCGGUCGUGUGCUCGCCAGCAACCCCCAAUUUUUUUCAGGUUGACCUCGGAUCAGGUAGGGAUACCCGCUGAACUUAAGCAUAUCAAUAAGCGGAGGA
rnacentral:misc_RNA from 1 species